rnacentral:rRNA from 1 species
UUAAAUUGAAGAGUUUGAUCAUGGCUCAGAUUGAACGCUGGCGGCAGGCCUAACACAUGCAAGUCGAACGGUAACAGGAAUCAGCUUGCUGAUUCGCUGACGAGUGGCGGACGGGUGAG